UAACAGGAUUAGAUACCCUGGUAGUCCACGCCGUAAACGAUGAUAAAUAGCUGUCCGGUCACUUGGUGAUUGGGUGGCGCAGCUAACGCAUUAAGUUAUCCGCCUGGGGAGUACGGUCGCAAGAUUAAAACUCAAAGGAAUUGGCGGGGGCCUGCACAAGCGGUGGAGCAUGUGGUUUAAUUAGAAGCAACGCGCAGCACCUUCCCAGCGUUUGACAUCCUACGCUACCCAGAGAGAUUUGGGGUUCCCUUCGGGGACGUAGAGACAGGUGCUGCAUGGCUGUCGUCAGCUCGUGUCGUGAGAUGUUGGGUUAAGUCCCGCAACGAGCGCAACCCUCGUCCUUAGUUGCCAUCAUUAAGUUGGGCACUCUAAGGAAACCGCCGGUGAUAAGCCGGAGGAAGGUGGGGAUGACGUAA
rnacentral:rRNA from 1 species